rnacentral:lncRNA from 1 species
CACACGGCACCAUUUGUAAGUAUGACUUGAAUUCCGCCUGAAACUCCUUCUCGACCUUAUUCCUUAACGCCCUUUCAUACUGUUCGACAAACUGUUUUAAAGAGGUCUUCGAGUGGACAUAUCCGUCGAAUAACGCAUUCAUACUUUCACUUCGUUGUGUCGUCGACAUCCCUGCCCAGAAAGUGGUUUUCAAGAAGCAAGGUACCCAUUUACGCCUGUUCUCAUACAGCCCCAACAACCAAUCAUUAUUGUGUAAGUCAAACCUGCAGAUCAUAUUGAUCCAGCCAUUUUCAAAUUCAUCCUCGUGUUGCGAAUCAUAUACUAGACCAUGCAUACAAGAAAAUAUUGAGCUUUUAUCACUGUGAUAGCCAAACUUUUCAGGCAACUUCUUCAUGAUGUGCCAUAAACACCAUCUGUGUUUCGCAUUUGGAAAGACAAUCGCAAUCGCAUUUUGCAUAGCCUUAUCUUGAUCAGUAAUAACUCCAUGGGGAGGUCAGCCAUGCAUGCACUCGAGCCAUGUCCUAAAUAGCCAUACGAACGUGUCCGUGUCCUCAUUGGACAGCAAACCACAACCAAGUAAUGUUGAUUGUCCGUGGUGAUUUACUCCAACAAAAGGUGCGAAAGGUAUAUCAUACUUAUUCGUGAGAUACGGGUAUCAAACGUGACAACAUCUCCGAACUCUUUGUAUGCUUGUCUAGACCUAUUAUCCGCCCAAAAUACAUUCUUUAGGCGUCCCUCGUCAUCUAAAUCCCGUACACUGUGACUGAUACUGAAAUAAAAUCCCGUACACUGUGACUGCAUCUUCGAAAAGUAUGAUUGCAAAGCUGCAGCAUCUCCUUUUCCUAGUCUUAAUCUUCUCACCCGUUCAAUAUAGUUCCGACAAUCCCUCUCAACGUAAGUCAUAUUUUCAUAUCCACCUGCUUCCACAACUGUGGAGUUGAAGCUUUUGUGAAGUAGAAUUCCUGCCACAUCAUUCACCUCAAGCUUCCUUUUCACAAUCGCACUUAGUUCUCUGUUGCAUCGAUAAAGUCUAGAUUUCGAAGGGCUUGUUCUGUGAUUGUGCUCAAGGUUCACGGUGUUGAUUCUCCAUUUUCCAAAGACAUCUACAGAUGCAGAUAUCCUCGCUUUACAAUCUAUUUGACUCCUUGGUUGUGGCUUCAAAACAGUGGUACUAUUAUUACUUCUUCGCCCUUCACGGCCACACGUGAAUGUCACAUAUCUAACUACUCCGUCGUCGUCCUUUUUUGAAUUCCUUCUCCUCACAGGAAAGCCAACGGCGUAAGCAUAUCUCUUGUAGAAGUCAAACAACUCUGUCUCACUCGCGAAUGUCAUUCCAAACUCAGGCAAUAGCUCUCCAUCUCCUCCUAACGAUUCAUUGCCAACAAUGUUGCUACUGUCCACAAAUAUCUCAUUUUCUGACUGCACCAUGGAAACAUCAUUCCUGUCUCCCAUCAUUUUGUG